rnacentral:ncRNA from 1 species
UAGGCGGAAAGGUUUAGUGUUACCCUUUCCGCCACUUCUGUAACUUGUAACA